UCGGGAAUAUUGCGCAAUGGAGGAAACUCUGACGCAGUGACGCCGCGUGCAGGAAGAAGGUUUUCGGAUUGUAAACUGCUUUAGACAGGGAAGAAAAAAUGACAGUACCUGUAGAAUAAGCUCCGGCUAACUACGUGCCAGCAGCCGCGGUAAUACGUAGGGAGCAAGCGUUAUCCGGAUUUAUUGGGUGUAAAGGGUGCGUAGACGGGAAAACAAGUUAGUUGUGAAAUCCCUCGGCUUAACUGAGGAACUGCAACUAAAACUAUUUUUACUUGAGUGCUGGAGAGGAAAUGUGGAAUUCCUAGUGUAGCGGUGAAAUGCGUAGAUAUUAGGAGGAACACCAGUGGCGAAGGCGACUUUCUGGACAGUAACUGACGUUGAGGCACGAAAGUGUGGGGAGCAAACAGGAUUAGAUACC
rnacentral:rRNA from 1 species